UGGGGAAUUUUGGACAAUGGGGGCAACCCUGAUCCAGCCAUCCCGCGUGUGCGAUGAAGGCCUUCGGGUUGUAAAGCACUUUUGGCAGGGAAGAAACAGCCUGGGCUAAUAUCCCGGGCGACUGACGGUACCUGCAGAAUAAGCACCGGCUAACUACGUGCCAGCAGCCGCGGUAAUACGUAGGGUGCCAGCGUUGUCCGGAAUUAUUGGGCGUAAAGCGCGCGCAGGCGGCUUAUUAAGUCUGAUGUGAAAGCCCACGGCUCAACCGGGGAGGGCCAUUGGAAACUGGUAGGCUUGGGUGCAGGAGAGGGGAGCGGAAUUCCCUGUGUAGCGGUGAAAGGCGUAGAUAUCGGGAGGAACACCCGGGGCGAAGGCGGCUCUCUGGCCUGUAACUGACGCUGAGGCGCGAAAGCGUGGGGAGCAAACA
rnacentral:rRNA from 1 species